rnacentral:rRNA from 1 species
UACGUAGGGGGCAAGCGUUGUCCGGAUUUAUUGGGCGUAAAGAGCGUGUAGGCGGUUUGGUAGGUCCGUUGUGAAAACUCGAGGCUCAACCUCGAGACGCCGGCGGAAACCAUCAGGCUAGAGUCCGGAAGAGGAGAGUGGAAUUCCUGGUGUAGCGGUGAAAUGCGCAGAUAUCAGGAAGAACACCCGUGGCUAAGGCGGCUCUCUGGAACGCAACUGACGCUGAGACGCGAAAGCGUGGGGAGCAAACAGG